rnacentral:rRNA from 1 species
UACAGAGGUCUCAAGCGUUGUUCGGAUUCAUUGGGCGUAAAGGGUGCGUAGGCGGCGCGGUAAGUCGGGUGUGAAAUCUUGGAGCUUAACUCCGAAACUGCAUUCGAUACUGCCGUGCUUGAGGACUGGAGAGGAGACUGGAAUUUACGGUGUAGCGGUGAAAUGCGUAGAUAUCGUAAGGAAGACCGGUGGCGAAGGCGGCGACCUGGGUAGAUACUGACACUGAGGCGCGAAAGCGUGGGGAGCAAACAGG